UACGUAGGGGGCAAGCGUUGUCUGGAAUCAUUGGGCGUAAAGAGCGUGUAGGCGGUCCGUUAAGUCGGCUGUGAAAGUCCAAGGCUCAACCUUGGGAUGCCGGUCGAUACUGCCGGACUAGAGUUCGGAAGAGGCGAGUGGAAUUCCCGGUGUAGCGGUGAAAUGCGCAGAUAUCGGGAGGAACACCUAUGGCGAAGGCAGCUCGCUGGGACGUUACUGACGCUGGAGACGCGAAAGCGUGGGGAGCAAACAGG
rnacentral:rRNA from 1 species